AGCGACCCCAAAAAACGACUUCGUAAAAGAGGGAAACGUAGCGGUCUUAUGGUCAGACUCCGGACACGGGCACAUCGUGCACCACUCGCUAGCAUUCUUCUUGCCAAUGUCCAGUCUCUUGACAACAAGGUUGAUGAAAUCCGAGCAAGGGUAGCAUUCCAGAGGGACAUCAGAGACUGUAACGUUCUCUGCUUCACGGAAACAUGGCUCACUGGAGAGACGCUAUCCGGGGCGGUGCAGCCAACGGGU